UACGGAGGAUCCAAGCGUUAUCCGGAUUUAUUGGGUUUAAAGGGUGCGUAGGCGGAAUGAUAAGUCAGAGGUGAAAACCUGCAGCUCAACUGCAGAACUGCCUUUGAUACUGUCAAUCUUGAGUAUAUUUGAUGUGGGCGGAAUGUGUCAUGUAGCGGUGAAAUGCUUAGAUAUGACACAGAACACCGAUUGCGAAGGCAGCUCACAAAACUAUAACUGACGCUGAGGCACGAAAGCGUGGGGAUCAAACAGG
rnacentral:rRNA from 1 species